rnacentral:misc_RNA from 1 species
GUGGCAUAAGUCAUAAGGAAUAUCAGCAAUGAUUCUUCCGCGGUAACACUUAUAGAAGCCUUUGCAGCCCCGCAAGGGGUGGGGAGCACGACUGUAAACAAGUCUCCCCGAUGCAAGUCAGCACCCGCUGGCGACACGAUCGAAUUGACGGGGACGUCCUAAAGCCUGCAACACCAACCCACCCGGGAAACCGAGGUGGGGGCCCGUGCUAAUCACACGGGGUGGUAAGAGAGUGCAGGAUACUCCCUCC